rnacentral:rRNA from 1 species
AUUGAACGCUGGCGGCAUGCUUUACACAUGCAAGUCGAACGGUAACAGGCCUUCGGGCGCUGACGAGUGGCGAACGGGUGAGUAAUGCAUCGGAACGUGCCUAUUAGUGGGGGAUAACGCUUCGAAAGGAGUGCUAAUACCGCAUAAUCUCUGAGGAGGAAAGCAGGGGACCUUCGGGCCUUGCGCUGAUAGAGCGGCCGAUGUCGGAUUAGCUAGUUGGUGAGGUAAAGGCUCACCAAGGCGACGAUCCGUAGCGGGUCUGAGAGGAUGAUCCGCCACACUGGGACUGAGACACGGCCCAGACUCCUACGGGAGGCAGCAGUGGGGAAUUUUGGACAAUGGGCGCAAGCCUGAUCCAGCCAUGCCGCGUGAGUGACGAAGGCCUCGG